rnacentral:lncRNA from 1 species
UGAUAAUGAUCGCUUCGAGGGGAUCGGCCUCCUUGAUCGCUUCGAGGGGAUCGGCCCUCCUUGAUCACUUCGAGGGGAUCGACCCUCCUUGAUCACUUCGAGGGGAUCGGCCUCCUAGGGUUUGUCCAAAGACAGAAUAGUAUUUUUCAUAGAUUACCGAAAAGAAGCAGUUACAUCCCUAUUUAUAGAGUUUCACCCAAAGUCCAUCAGGACUUGAACUCUAAUAAUAAAUAAAUAUUAAACAAAC